rnacentral:rRNA from 1 species
ACGAACGCUGGCGGCGUACUUAACACAUGCAAGUCGAACGAGAAAAGAAGCUUCGGCUUCCAAGUACAGUGGCGAACGGGUGCGUAACACGUAAGCAAUCUACCCCAGGCAUUGGGAUAACUUCUCGAAAGGGGAGCUAAUACCAAAAAUAGUUCCCAAUAGCACAAGCUAUGGGGGGAAAGUGGGCCUCUAUUUUAUGCUCGCGGUUUGGGAUGAGCUUGCGGUCCAUUAGCUUGUUGGUGGGGUAACGGCCUACCAAGGCAGCGAUGGAUAGCUGGUCUGAGAGGAUGAUCAGCCACACUGGCACUGAGACACGGGCCAGACUCCUACGGGAGGCAGCAGUGGGGAAUUUUGCGCAAUGGGCGAAAGCCUGACGCAGUAACGCCGCGUGGAGGAUGAAGGCCCUUGGGUUGUAAACUCCUGCCAGGGGGGAAGAUAGUGUCGUUGCAAAUAGCUUUGGCACUAUGACGGUACCCCCAAAGGAAGCCCCGGCUAAUUCCGUGCCAGCAGCCGCGGUAAUACGGAAGGGGCAAGCGUUGUUCGGAAUUAUUGGGCGUAAAGGGCGCGUAGGCGGUCUCAUGUGUCCGCUGUGAAAUCACACGGCUCAACCGUGUUGGGUCGGCGGAAACUGUGAGACUUGAGGCUGGGAGGGGUCGGUGGAAUUCUUCAUGUAGCGGUGAAAUGCGUAGAUAUGAGGGAGAACACUCGUGGCGAAGGCGGCCGGCUGGACCAGUUCUGACGCUGAGGCGCGAAAGCGUGGGUAGCAAACAGGAUUAGAUACCCUGGUAGUCCACGCUGUAAACGAUGGGCACUAGGUGUCGGCGGUAUUAAUCCCGUCGGUGCUGGCGCUAACGCAGUAAGUGCCCCGCCUGGGGAGUACGGUCGCAAGGCUGAAACUCAAAGAAAUUGACGGGGGCCCGCACAAGCGGUGGAGCAUGUGGUUUAAUUCGACGCAACGCGAAGAACCUUACCUGGGCUUGACAUGCACUGGACCGGCAGUGAAAGCUGUCUUCUCUUCGGGGCUGAUGCACAGGUGCUGCAUGGAUGUCGUCAGCUCGUGUCGUGAGAUGUUGGGUUAAGUCCAGCAACGAGCGCAACACUAGCCCUCUGUUGCUAACGGGUUAUGCUGGGCACUCUGCGGAGACUGCCGGUGAUAAACCGGAGGAAGGUGGGGAUGACGUCAAGUCAGCAUGGCCUUUAUGUCUGGGGCUACACACGUGCUACAAUGGCCGGUACAAAGCGUCGCGAUCCCGCGAGGGGGAGCUAAUCGCACAAAGCCGGUCUCAGUUCGGAUUGUAGGCUGCAACUCGCCUACAUGAAGCUGGAAUCGCUAGUAAUCGCGGAUCAGCAUGCCGCGGUGAAUACGCCCGGCGUUGUACACACCCCC